GCGGAUGUGGCGGAAUUGGCAGACGCGCUGGAUUUAGGAUCCAGUGGGCAACCGUGGGGGUUCGACUCCCUCCAUCCGCA
rnacentral:tRNA from 1 species